rnacentral:lncRNA from 1 species
AUGGAUGGCGCGCCCAGCCUUCGCUUUCAGCGGCCCCGCUGCCCCGGGGAAGGCAGAUUUCGGCGGUUACCCUCCCCGGCUCCCCCCGCCGCCCCGGCUGCCUCCCUCCGUCCCUCCCUGCCCCGCCGGAGAGCGGCCGGGCCGGGCCGGGCCGGGCGGCCCCGCAAGGUCAGCCCCGCGCCCCGCCCGCCGGCCCCGCCGCGCCGCCCGCUACGAACCCUUGUCCUGCGCGCCCGCGCUGCCCAUGGUGGCGGAGCGCGGAUCUGGCCGCGCCUCCGGCCCGCCGCGCCGGCUCUGCAAAGUCCAGGCUGGAGUCCCGACGGCUCGGGGCACGGGGGGGUCCCGGGUGCCCCGCUCCCGGGCGGCGGGGGCAGCUCGCCCGGGCUCCCCUCGCCGCCCGGCGAUGCGACCCCGCCGGGAGAUGCUCAAACCGCCCUAAUUAAAAAAUUAAACACGGCCGCUGGUGCUACCGCCUCCUCCUCCACCUCUUCGCCCGCCCCUUUCCAUCGCUAUUCAGCCGCGCUCCUCUCCAGCCCCGCUUUUCACGGAUUAAACCCAGGAGCGUGGAAACUUCCUGCAAAACACUACGUGCGGUGCAUCGGGUGCAUACGCCCCGGCAGGGAUGCACGUGGGUCAGUGACACAGGACUGUAUCACACUGCCAUGCAUCAUGAGACUUAUGGGACUGCUGUAGAGCUACCAGCAGAUUUGGUUCUAUGGAAAAUAAUUUUAAAACUCCUCAUGUUUCUUGCUACAUGCAAUAACACUAUGGUAGGUUAAGCCUUCUUCUUGAAAUAAUCUGG